rfam:Ailuropoda melanoleuca scaffold2498_18, whole genome shotgun sequence.
AUAAAGGUCCUUUUCAGGGCCACACACCCAUUCAUUUGAAGGGGCU